rnacentral:rRNA from 1 species
CUAAAAACUAGGAUUAGAUACCCUAUUAUUUAAAAUGUAAAUUUAAAUAUUUAAGUAGUAAUAGUUAUGUUCUUGAAACUUAAAAAAUUUGGCGGUAUUUUAGUCUAUCCAGAGGAACCUGUUUUGUAAUCGAUAAUCCACGAUGGACCUUACUUAAAUUUGUAUUCAGUUUAUAUACCGUCGUUAUCAGAAUAUUUUAUAAGAAUAAUAAUAUUCAAUAAUUUUUAUAAGAAUUUAUAUCAGAUCAAGGUGUAGCUUAUAUUUAAGUAAUAAUGGGUUACAAUAAAAAUAUUUAAACGGAUAAAAUUAUGAAAAAAUUUUUGAAGGUGGAUUUGGCAGUAAAAUUAUAAAGAUUAAUAAUUUGAUUUUAGCUCUAAAAUAUGUACAUAUCGCCCGUCGCUCUUAUUAUUAAGGAAGAAAUCGAACUAGUAA